CCUACGGGAGGCAGCAGUGGGGAAUAUUGGGCAAUGGGCGCAAGCCUGACCCAGCAACGCCGCGUGAAGGAAGAAGGCCUUCGGGUUGUAAACUUCUUUUAUCAGGGACGAAGCAAGUGACGGUACCUGAUGAAUAAGUCACGGCUAACUACGUGCCAGCCGCCGCGGUAAUACGUAGGUGGCAGGCGUUAGCCGGAUUUACUGGGUGUAAAGGGCGUGUAGGCGGGAGUGCAAGUCAGAUGUGAAAACUAUGGGCUCAACCCGUAACCUGCAUUUGAAACUGUACUUCUUGAGUGCUGGUAGGGAAGUCGGAAUUCCGGGUGUAGCGGUGAAAUGCGUAGAUAUACGGAGGAACACCAGUGGCGAAGGCGGGUGGCUGGACAGUAACUGACGCUGAGGCGCGAAAGCGUGGGGAGCAAACAGGAUUAGAUACCCCGGUAGUC
rnacentral:rRNA from 1 species